UACGGAGGGGGCUAGCGUUAUUCUGAAUUACUGGGCGUAAAGCGCACGUAGGCGGCUUUGUAAGUAAGAGGUGAAAGCCCGGAGCUCAACUCCGGAACUGCCUUUUAGACUGCAUCGCUUGAAUCCAGGAGAGGUGAGUGGAAUUCCGAGUGUAGAGGUGAAAUUCGUAGAUAUUCGGAAGAACACCAGUGGCGAAGGCGGCUCACUGGACUGGUAUUGACGCUGAGGUGCGAAAGCGUGGGGAGCAAACAGG
rnacentral:rRNA from 1 species